UACGAAGGGAGCUAGCGUUGUUCGGAAUCACUGGGCGUAAAGCGCACGUAGGCGGAUGUGUCAGUCAGGGGUGAAAUCCCGGAGCUCAACUUCGGAACUGCCUUUGAUACAGCACGUCUUGAGUCCGAUAGAGGUGGGUGGAAUUCCUAGUGUAGAGGUGAAAUUCGUAGAUAUUAGGAAGAACACCGGUGGCGAAGGCGGCCCACUGGAUCGGUACUGACGCUGAGGUGCGAAGGCGUGGGGAGCGAACAGG
rnacentral:rRNA from 1 species